rnacentral:rRNA from 1 species
UAGCGUAUAUUAAAGUUGUUGCAGUUAAAAAGCUCGUAGUUGGAUUUCGGGACGGGUCAGUUGGUCCACCGAAAGGUGUGUUACUGAUUGGUCUGUUCUUCUUCGCGAAGACUACGCGUGCCCUUCAUUGUGUGUGCGUAGGAUUUACGACGUUUACUUUGAAAAAAUUAGAGUGUUCAAAGCAGGCUAUCGCUUGAAUACAUGAGCAUGGAAUAAUGGAAUAGGACUUUGGUCCUAUUUUGUUGGUUUCUAGGACCGAAGUAAUGAUUAAGAGGGACAAUUGGGGGCAUCCGUAUUUCGUUGUC